UACAGAGGUCCCAAGCGUUGUUCGGAUUCAUUGGGCGUAAAGGGUGCGUAGGCGGGUCUUUAAGUCAGGGGUGAAAUCCUGGAGCUCAACUCCAGAACUGCCUUUGAUACUGAGGAUCUUGAGUUCGGGAGAGGUGAGUGGAACUGCGAGUGUAGAGGUGAAAUUCGUAGAUAUUCGCAAGAACACCAGUGGCGAAGGCGGCUCACUGGCCCGAUACUGACGCUGAGGCACGAAAGCGUGGGGAGCAAACAGGG
rnacentral:rRNA from 1 species